rnacentral:rRNA from 1 species
AUUGAACGCUGGCGGCAGGCCUAACACAUGCAAGUCGAGCGGAUGAAGGGAGCUUGCUCCUGGAUUCAGCGGCGGACGGGUGAGUAAUGCCUAGGAAUCUGCCUGGUAGUGGGGGAUAACGUCCGGAAACGGGCGCUAAUACCGCAUACGUCCUGAGGGAGAAAGUGGGGGAUCUUCGGACCUCACGCUAUCAGAUGAGCCUAGGUCGGAUUAGCUAGUUGGUGGGGUAAAGGCCUACCAAGGCGACGAUCCGUAACUGGUCUGAGAGGAUGAUCAGUCACACUGGAACUGAGACACGGUCCAGACUACUACGGGAGGCAGCAGUGGGGAAUAUUGGACAAUGGGCGAAAGCCUGAUCCAGCCAUGCCGCGUGUGUGAAGAAGGUCUUCGGAUUGUAAAGCACUUUUAGUUGGGAGGAAGGGCAGUAAGUUAAUACCUUGCUGUUUUGACGUUACCAACAGAAUAAGCACCGGCUAACUUCGUG